rnacentral:rRNA from 1 species
GGUGAACGCUAGCGGUGCGCCUAACACAUGCAAGUCGAGCGGGAUUAUAAUUUAGCUUGCUAAAUUAUAUGAGAGCGGCGAACGGGUGAGUAACACGUUGGUAUCUGCCCCCAAGUCAGGGAUAGCCAUUGGAAACGAUGAUUAAUACCGGAUAGUCUCUACGGAGUAAAAAUUUAUUGCUUGGGGAGGAACCUGCGGUCUAUCAGCUAGUUGGUGAGGUAACGGCCCACCUAGUCUACGAUGGAUAGGGGUUCUGAGAGGAAGAUCCCCCACAUUGGAACUGAGACACGGUCCAA